rnacentral:rRNA from 1 species
GUCUAUGCCCACGCCGCCCUGAAGUGCCCGAUCCUGUCUGAUCUCGGAAGCUCAGCAGGGUCAGGCCUGGUUAGUACUUGGAUGGGAGACCACCUAGGAAGACCAGGUGCUGUAGGUG